rnacentral:lncRNA from 1 species
CGAAAUGACGAUGUAAAAAAAUUCAAACGAGAAAACUAGCGGCCUUAUUUAUGUACAAAAAAGGAACGAAAAACAAAUAUGUAACACACAAACAAACGACAACCACUGAACUACAGGCUCCUUACUUAAAUGUUCAUAACAUACUAAAUGUAUGUUCAUAUUGAAAUUGAUAGAAAACCAAAAAUUGGGAAUUUUGGAAAUGAAGGAGGAAGUAUAAAACUUCUAACAACACUUUACAUACUUUUAACUCCGCUCUGAAUGCCCGCGAUUUCGCGGGUGUGUUUUAGUUAAGCCUCAUAAUGGAACCCCAUUUAUAAACGAACUGUUAACUAAUAAAACAAAUAUAGAAAGGACAAUACC